CAGAACACAGUGCUGUAAAAGACAAGCUACUCAGGUGAAUUAAAAAAUAGCGCCAUACUGUGAUACUAUCCGGCCCGAUUGUUAUGGGCGAAGCUUCACACUCCACGAGUUGGACUGAUGCCAAGUCAAGAAA